UCGGGAAUUUUGGGCAAUGGGCGAAAGCCUGACCCAGCAACGCCGCGUGAAGGAUGAAAUCCUUCGGGAUGUAAACUUCGCAAGAACGGGAAGAAUAAGUAAGAGCUAACAUCUCUUAUGAUGACGGUACUGUUUGUAAGCUCCGGCUAACUCCGUGCCAGCAGCCGCGGUAAUACGGAGGGGGCAAGCGUUGUUCGGAAUUACUGGGCGUAAAGCGCGCGUAGGCGGUUUUUCUAGUCAGGCGUGAAAGCCCUGGGCUCAACCCGGGAAUUGCGCUUGAUACUGGAUGACUAGAGGCCGGGAGAGGGUAGUGGAAUUCCCAGUGUAGAGGUGAAAUUCGUAGAUAUUGGGAAGAACACCAGUGGCGAAGGCGGCUACCUGGACCGGUACUGACGCUGAUGCGCGAAAGCGUGGGGAGCAAA
rnacentral:rRNA from 1 species